rnacentral:rRNA from 1 species
GACGAACGCUGGCGGCGUGCUUAACACAUGCAAGUCGAACGGAAAGGCCCUGCUUUUGUGGGGUGCUCGAGUGGCGAACGGGUGAGUAACACGUGAGUAACCUGCCCUUGACUUUGGGAUAACUUCAGGAAACUGGGGCUAAUACCGGAUAGGAGCUCCUGCUGCAUGGUGGGGGUUGGAAAGUUUCGGCGGUUGGGGAUGGACUCGCGGCUUAUCAGCUUGUUGGUGGGGUAGUGGCUUACAACGGCUUUGACGGGUAGCCGGCCUGAGAGGGUGACCGGCUACAUUGGAACUGAGAUACGGCCCAGACUCCGACGGAAGGCAGCGGUGGGAAUUAUGGCACAAGGGGCGGAAGCCGAAUGCAGCAACGCCGCGUGCGGAAGGACGGCCUUCGGGUUGUAAACCGCUUUCGCCGGUAACGAAGCGUGAGUGACGGUAAUGGGUAAGGAAGCACCGGCUAACUACGU